rnacentral:rRNA from 1 species
CAGUCGCCACGGUAAUACGUAGGUCCCGAGCGUUGUCCGGAUUUAUUGGGCGUAAAGCGAGCGCAGGCGGUUAGAUAAGUCUGAAGUUAAAGGCUGUGGCUUAACCAUAGUACGCUUUGGAAACUGUUUAACUUGAGUGCAGAAGGGGAGAGUGGAAUUCCAUGUGUAGCGGAGAAAUGCGUAGAUAUAUGGAGGAACACCGGUGGCGAAAGCGGCUCUCUGGUCUGUAACUGACGCUGAGGCUCGAAAGCGUGGGGAGCAAACAGGAUUAGAUACCCGAGUAGUCCCUGUCUCUUAUACA